rnacentral:lncRNA from 1 species
UUAAGAAGCAUUUUAACCUUUCUUCCAACUCAUAACAAUAAUCAUCAUUGAUGUCUAUAACAAUAUUACUUAAUAGAUGGAAACAAACAAUAGUAACUAGUCAAAGCAUAUCACAUUUUUUACAAGUUUGUGUUGAAAAACUUAGUCAAAUUUAGUAAAAGUAAGGGAGAAAACAUAUUUUGAAAAUAUGAGUUUUACAUAUCUUGAAGCUACUUAUCACUCUUAAAAAUACAAGUUGUUCAAAAACUAGCGUAGAAGACUUCCACGGAAGUUUCCCGGAUC